GGGUCAGUAGGUUGGUCGUGCCACCGGUACGUACUGGUCUCACUGAUUCCUCCUUCCUGAUGAGCUGUAAUGCCAUUAAUUUGGUGUUGCAGGGAAUCUGGACUGUUACUUUGAAAAAAUUAGAGUGUUUAAAGCAGGCUAACGCUUGAAUACAUUAGCAUGGAAUAAUGAAAUAGGACGUUCGAUCCUAUUUUGUUGGUUUCUAGGAUUGACGUA
rnacentral:rRNA from 3 species